AACGCGAAGAACCUUACCUACCCUUGACAUGUACGGAACCUUCCAGAGAUGGUUGGGUGCCCGAAAGGGAACCGUAACACAGGUGCUGCAUGGCUGUCGUCAGCUCGUGUCGUGAGAUGUUGGGUUAAGUCCCGCAACGAGCGCAACCCUUGUCAUUAGUUGCUACAUUUAGUUGGGCACUCUAGUGAGACUGCCGGUGACAAACCGGAGGAAGGUGGGGAUGACGUCAAGUCCUCAUGGCCCUUAUGGGUAGGGCCUCACACGUAAUACAAUGGCCGGUACAGAGGGCUGCCAACCCGCAAGGGGGAGCCAAUCUCAGAAAGCCGGUCGUAGUCCGGAUUGUUCUCUGCAACUCGAGAACAUGAAGUCGGAAUCGCUAGUAAUCGCGGAUCAGCAUGUCGCGGUGAAUACGUUCCCGGGCCUUGUA
rnacentral:rRNA from 1 species